CCAAAAUCUCUUUCCUUUGUAUUCAAAAUUCUCCACUUUCUUCUCUAAAACUCUAAUUCUACAAAUCAAUACUAAAAAUAAAUGGCAACACUUGAGUGAGAAUUAUGAGAAUUUGGAGCAGCAAAGAAGGCGGCCACCAUAUGCAUCAACAAUUCAUAGAAGAAAACUCAAAUGGAGGUUAUUGUUUCAGCAACUCUCCAAAAACUAAUAUUUGGGUAUUAUUCUUUCAUUUCAUCCUUAGUUUUCUCGAGGCUAUUAAGAGCUUCCAAUUAAUGUCAAAUCUCUCCAAAAACUAUAAUAAGUUAAAUAAAAUUUUUUGUUUUGGUGCUUGACUUUCGUGAAUGAAUUUUUUCAUUUCAGUUGUUUUGGGUUUAAUUCAAGUUGUGUUGAUUUAUUUUUAUCUUGCAGAUUCAUUUUACAUGGAUAUUAGUAAUGACUUCUGUAAAUUGUGAGGUAUUUCAAAAUACUCAAAUGAAUAAUGCACGUAUAGCCUUCACAUAUGAGCUAAUGGAUUUGGCCAUUUCUUAGCCACUUGCUGAAAACUAAUGUAUUGAUUAUUUUGGGUUAAAAAUAAUCUACAUGUCAGAGGUUAUGGCUUGUUUUAGCACUGCAGUUGCUUGAUAUCCGGUUUUAAAAUCAAUUUCAUGCACUGAUUCGUGGCAAAAUCAAGGGAUGAAUGUUGUGAUUCAACGCUAUAAAACCAGUUGCAGUGACUGAUUAUGUGUGAAAACUUUUCUUAUCUUCUUUUCCAUUUUCAUUAAAGCUAUACACUUUACCUAGAAAAUGAAUUAAAUUAGCUGUUUGAAUCAACUAUAGUUUGGAAUGUGCUAUUGCAGUUGGAACGCUAUUAAAUCUUGGAAGAUCAUACUGUCUUUGAUUCCUUUACGCACCCGAAAAUUAUCCGAGAAGGGCAUAAUCUAUUCUUGAAGGACAAUGCUCCAUUGGCACGCCUUUGGCUUGCUAAUUUCAUCACUUUCUGUGUUUGUGUUUAUUAAUUAUUGUUUUGCAGUUCUACAUUUAUCAGCUGGAUUAUUUGAAGAGUUGUUGAACCGAGAACAAGUGAAGUUGCUGGACAAUUGAAUAAACUUGGUUUGCUGCAGAUUAUUGUCAAACUUGGUGGCAUGAAUUUUUUAGUUCAAUUUGGCUUUUAAUUUAUUAGUGGUGGGCCUUCCUUACAAAGUCACUUCCACUAAUCUUCUUUGUAUUUUUGUGGCUGUAGAAAGAGCUCUUGGUGGCUGGAGAAUUUAGUUUCUGGGCUUUUACAUGCUGAUAUUUUAUAAAUAUCAAAAUUCAUUAUUCUUGUAACAACUUCAAGUUCAAAUAUUAAUGCUAAUUUGUUUGAGCUAUUGAGAUUUUAGGAUUGGAUAUGGUGAUUGUUAGUGGAUUUAAGGUUUAAGUUUGGUUGUGACUUCAAAUUCAAC
rnacentral:lncRNA from 1 species